rnacentral:lncRNA from 1 species
UACUCUCUCUUAGAAGUCCAGAAUCUUUCAUCCAUGAGAAAUCAAAUUGCCUAAUAUGUUCCCUGCAUUGUUUCCUUUUAAUUAAUUGGUCUUAUUUGAUUGCUUUUACUGUAUAAAAGUCUGUCUCUCUAUGUAUUCUGGAUUCAGCCUUAAACUGAUGAAUAGAAGUUCUUACCCAUGGAGAAAGGCAGAAGGAAAAAUAUCACACAACACUCACAUUAGCACAGGGUCUGAUUCAUGGUGUUUAAUAAAUGGUUGUUGACUCACUACAUGAAGCAUUGUGCAAUACCCAGAGAAUCUCCUGCCCCUGCCCUCAAGAAGCACCUGUUAGGGUCACACACCAGAGAAUCCUGGGAUUUCAGAGUAGCCAUUCUCUGAGUAGAAAUUCCUUCUACCACACAGCCAACAGGAGAUCAGUCAGUCUUUGCUUGAAGACCUCCUAUGAAGGGGGGAGCCCACAACCUCCAGAAGCAGUUAGGAAUUGCUUCCUGAUCUCAAUCCUAAAUCUACCUCUGUAGUUUCCACCCAUCUUUUGUAGUUUUGCCCACUGAGUUCAAAGAGAAGCAGUCUUCUCCCUCCUUUCUUCAUGAACCUUUCAGAUGCCUGGUAUGAGCUAUUUCAUAUCAGCUGGAAGUUUUCUCUCACCUAGACUGAGGAUUCCCAGUUUCCAAACCUCAGAUAUCAUAAAUUGAAGGCAAAGCUCUUCAUGAUCAUGGUGCCUAGACCCAAAGCAGACCAGGGACAAAAAGGGUCUGACUGUUCUCAAGUUGUGGAGGUCCUCACAGGGCUUUCUUUGACCUCUCUAAAGGAGUAGAAUAACUGCCAACACCUGAAGAGAUUGGAUGGGUGGGGCUUCCACUACAAAAUCACUUUGGCAGGGAGCUCUACUCGCAACUCUUAUUAAUCAAUCAGUCUCUAACUCUGCCUGGGAUUUGUAAUCAUGAAGUUCUUUGUGGAGCUACUCAUGCUCUUCCUGUUGUUUGCCCAGAUCUGGCUCCAACGUUGUCCAGUAAAUGUAUAUUGUGAUGAAAAUCAAUUUAUAGUCUCUGUGGGGAAAGAUCUUCUUAACAAUGGCAUGGCCUUGAAAAAGUAUCAGGUGACGCUGGGAGAGAAUUGUGAAGUAACCCAGAGCAGACCAGAUUUCUUGUGCCUGUCCUACACAGUCUCAGAUUGUGGAAUACAACGAACGGUUGUACAGGAUAUCAUUAUGUUCCACAGUACUGUGAAGAUUUCUUUCAUUUAUUAUUUUUAUGAUGGCACAGCUAAAAUACCCAUAUCAUGCAGUAUUUGGGAGAGUAAUUAUACAAUGAUCCCUCAACUCUCAUCAUUAAUGUUAGAAACACAGAAUGAAACAAACAAAGCUCAGGACUCUGGUCCAACUACCUCAAGGGCUCAGCAAAAUGUUGGCCUGAGCUAGUAGGGACGGGACCAUCAGAUCCACAAAACCCAACUCCAAGAGCAGCCUGAAACUUCCCUGUUUUGUGACUGACUCUUCUCUGCUCUGGGAAUAUGGGAACAGUGCUUUGCAACAAGUUUCUUCCCCUGAAAGCUGCUUCAGAGUUCCCAUGGUCCCUGGUCAAGGGCCAAUGGCAUCGCUUACCAAAAACCCUUGGGAAAUUGUGCAAAUGCCUGAUGAUGCUCUAUGAAACUCUUUGUAUAGUUUAUUUAAAAGAGCAUUGAUUUGGGGGGAAAAAGCCAUCCUGUCCCUUUUAUGGCCCAUGGUUAGAAGGGGCCAUCUUUGUCUUUUCAGGAAAAGAUAUCCAUUGUGUGUCUUUAGUUUUACAAUCUUAGGCUCAGAAUCACAGGGUCUAGGGCAGCACGGAAUAGAAUUGACCAUUGAGAAAUCCUUGAGUAAGGCUCAAGAAUACCCCUACUCAAAGUAUGACUUGAAUUUAGACUCCAGCCCCACUGCCCCCAAGACUGGGAAAAGACAACUUUGCAAGCAUUCAGGCUAUUAAGACAAAUAAAAUUGGUCCCAAAACCA